rnacentral:rRNA from 1 species
AGCAGCCGCGGUAAUUCCAGCUCCAAUAGCGUAUAUUAAAGUUGUUGCAGUUAAAAAGCUCGUAGUUGAAUUUCGGGAUCAGAUUGUCGGUCGUGCCUCGGUACGCACUGGCAUUAUUGGUUCCUACCUUCUGAAGAACCGCGAUGUCAUUAAUUUGGUGUCGUGAGGAAUCAGGACUGUUACUUUGAAAAAAUUAGAGUGUUUAAAGCAGGCGCACGCUUGAAUACAUUAGCAUGGAAUAAUGAAAUAGGACGUUUGAUUCUAUUUUGUUGGUUUCUAGGAUCGACGUAAUGAUUAAUAGGGAUAGUUGGGGGCAUUAGUAUUCAAUUGUCAGAGGUGAAAUUCUUGGAUUUAUUGAAGACUAACUACUGCGAAAGCAUUUGCCAAGGAUGUUUUCAUUAAUCAAGAACGAAAGUUAGAGGUUCGAAGGCGAUCAGAUACCGCCCUAGUUCUAACCAUAAACGAUGCCAACCAGCGAUUAGCCUGAGUUCCUUAAAUGACUCGGCU